CUAUGCGCCUUGCCAGCCCGCUCAGGUGUGCCAGCCGCCGCGGUAAUACGGAGGGGGCGAGCGUUGUUCGGAGUGACUGGGCGUAAAGAGCACGUAGGCGGUGUUGUAAGUCACUAGUCAAAGACUAGAGCUCAACUUUAGUAAGGCUAGUGAUACUAUAAUACUAGAGUAUCAGAGAGGAUUGCAGAAUUCCUGGUGUAGCGGUGAAAUGCGUAGAUAUCAGGAGGAAUACCGUUAGCGAAGGCGGCAAUCUGGCUGGAAACUGACGCUGAGUGCGAAAGCGUGGUAGCAAACAGG
rnacentral:rRNA from 1 species